rnacentral:rRNA from 1 species
GACGAACGCUGGCGGCGUGCCUAACACAUGCAAGUCGAACGCAGUGGGGACGGGUGAGUAACACGUGGGUAACCUCCCAUCAGAGGGGAUAACACUUGGAAAAAGGUGCUAAACCGAUACUGAUGGAUGAACCCGGGGUGCAUUAGCGAGUAGGUGGGGUAACGGCUCACCAAGGCCACGAAGCAUAGCCGGCCUGAGAGGAUGAUCGGCCACACUGGGACUGAGACACGGCCCAGACUCCUACGGGAGGCAGCAGUGGGGAAUAUUCGACAAUGGGCGAAAGUCUGACCGAGCAACGCCGCGUGUGUGAAGAAGGUUUUCGGAUCGUAAAACUCUUUUGUUAGGGAAGCGGUAUCUAACCAGGAAGCCACGGCUAACUACGUGCCAGCAGCCGCGGUAAUAC